CAACUUCACCUUUCUCCGCUCCAGUUGUUCAAGUGAGCUUGUCCAAUGAAAAUGAGCAAGAGGAUGCUUGGGGUGAACACCCAUCUAACUUUCAAGAGGACACAAUCGCUGAACUGAGACCCUCAAGUACCCACCAGGCAAGAACAAAUAACACCCUAGGACAACAUCCUAAGAUGCACCGAUCUACCUAAAGCCCUCCAUCAUUCCCACACCCAUCUUGCAACAAAGUUUCAUUAAGUGCAGUCCAUAACCAGUGUCUGCCAUGCACGGUCUGCACCUUGUCCAUUGCAGAUGUUAUGGAUCAUUCUAUUAAAGAUCUUUAUAUUCUUUAUUUGAGACUGUUAUUAUGUAGAGACUGUUAUGUUGUGAAUAAAGUCAACCCACCCCCUACAUCGAUGCUUUCAGCAGUUAAUACAUUAAAGUGUGUCCCUAAUGUUUUAUUAUUUAAAGAUUGUUUUAAAGUUUAUUACAGGCUCAGUGAAUUUUCUUUCACUAAAAAAUAAAGUGUAAUAUAAACUGUCAUAAUCAAGUCUGGGACGCA